CAGCAGCCGCGGGAACACGUAGGUGGCAAGCGUUGUCCGGAAUUAUUGGGCGUAAAGGGCUCGCAGGCGGUUUCUUAAGUCUGAUGUGAAAGCCCCCGGCUCAACCGGGGAGGGUCAUUGGAAACUGGGAAACUUGAGUGCAGAAGAGGAGAGUGGAAUUCCACGUGUAGCGGUGAAAUGCGUAGAGAUGUGGAGGGACACCAGUGGCGAAGGCGACUCUCUGGUCUGUAACUGACGCUGAGGAGCGAAAGCGUGGGGAGCGAACAGGAUUAGAUACCCCCGUAGUCCCUGUCUCUUAUAU
rnacentral:rRNA from 1 species